rnacentral:rRNA from 1 species
UACGAAGGGGGCUAGCGUUGUUCGGAAUCACUGGGCGUAAAGCGUACGUAGGCGGAUACUUAAGUCAGAGGUGAAAGCCUGGAGCUCAACUCCAGAACUGCCUUUGAUACUGGGUGUCUUGAGUCCGGGAGAGGUGAGUGGAACUGCUAGUGUAGAGGUGAAAUUCGUAGAUAUUAGCAAGAACACCAGUGGCGAAGGCGGCUCACUGGCCCGGUACUGACGCUGAGGUACGAAAGCGUGGGGAGCAAAC